rnacentral:rRNA from 1 species
GACGAACGCUGGCGGCGUGCCUAAUACAUGCAAGUAGAACGCUGAAGAGAGGAGCUUGCUCUUCUUGGAUGAGUUGCGAACGGGUGAGUAACGCGUAGGUAACCUGCCUUGUAGCGGGGGAUAACUAUUGGAAACGAUAGCUAAUACCGCAUAACAAUGGAUGACACAUGUCAUUUAUUUGAAAGGGGCAAUUGCUCCACUACAAGAUGGACCUGCGUUGUAUUAGCUAGUAGGUGAGGUAACGGCUCACCUAGGCGACGAUACAUAGCCGACCUGAGAGGGUGAUCGGCCACACUGGGACUGAGACACGGCCCAGACUCCUACGGGAGGCAGCAGUAGGGAAUCUUCGGCAAUGGGGGCAACCCUGACCGAGCAACGCCACGUGAGUGAAGAAGGUUUUCGGAUCGUAAAGCUCUGUUGUAAGUCAAGAACGAGUGUGAGAGUGGAAAGUUCACACUGUGACGGUAGCUUACCAGAAAGGGACGGCUAACUACGUGCCUGCAGCCGCGGUAAUACGUAGGUCCCGAGCGUUGUCCGGAUUUAUUGGGCGUAAAGCGAGCGCAGGCGGUUUGAUAAGUCUGAGGUUAAAGGCUGUGGCUCAACCAUAGUUCGCUUUGGAAACUGUCAAACUUGAGUGCAGAAGGGGAGAGUGGAAUUCCAUGUGUAGCGGUGAAAUGCGUAGAUAUAUGGAGGAACACCGGUGGCGAAAGCGGCUCUCUGGUCUGUAACUGACGCUGAGGCUCGAAAGCGUGGGGAGCGAACAGGAUUAGAUACCCUGGUAGUCCACGCCGUAAACGAUGAGUGCUAGGUAUUGGAUCCUUUCCGGGAUUCAGUGCCGCAGCUAACGCAUUAAGCACUCCGCCUGGGGAGUACGACCGCAAGGUUGAAACUCAAAGGAAUUGACGGGGGCCCGCACAAGCGGUGGAGCAUGUGGUUUAAUUCGAAGCAACGCGAAGAACCUUACCAGGUCUUAACAUCCCGAUGCUAUUUCUAGAGAUAGAAAGUUACUUCGGUACAUCGGUGACAGGUGGUGCAUGGUUGUCGUCAGCUCGUGUCGUGAGAUGUUGGGUUAAGUCCCGCAACGAGCGCAACCCCUAUUGUUAGUUGCCAUCAUUCAGUUGGGCACUCUAGCGAGACUGCCGGUAAUAAACCGGAGGAAGGUGGGGAUGACGUCAAAUCAUCAUGCCCCUUAUGACCUGGGCUACACACGUGCUACAAUGGUUGGUACAACGAGUUGCGAGUCGGUGACGGCAAGCUAAUCUCUUAAAGCCAAUCUCAGUUCGGAUUGUAGGCUGCAACUCGCCUACAUGAAGUCGGAAUCGCUAGUAAUCGCGGAUCAGCACGCCGCGGUGAAUACGUUCCCGGGCCU